UACGGGGGGGGCAAGCGUUGUUCGGAAUUACUGGGCGUAAAGGGUGCGUAGGUGGUGAGGUAAGUCGGAUGUGAAAUCUCCGGGCUCAACCCGGAAAUGGCAUUGGAAACUACCUUGCUGGAGGAUUUGAGGGGGGAUUGGAAUACUUGGUGUAGCAGUGAAAUGCGUAGAUAUCAGGUGGAACACCAGUGGCGAAGGCGAAUCCCUGGAAAAUACCUGACACUGAGGCACGAAAGCUAGGGGAGCAAACAGG
rnacentral:rRNA from 1 species